UCUAUAUUUAAAUCUUUUUGCAUGGAAAAACGAAACGAAAUUCAACUUUUGGUAGUCAAAAGAUUCCUUUCGCCACUUCUCUAAUAAGACAUAAAGUCUGUAAGUCCUAUGUCUGUCCUUUCACAGUUGUUACGCGACUCCGAGAUGUUUUCUAUUAAAGAUUUAUGUCGCGCUGAGGGGCUUGGGCUCCUUUCGGCUUAUGUCCAUUGUUGGUGUUGCUUUUGCUUGGAUUUGUGCUGCUGCUACUUCGUUUCGUUAGUUAUUGUUCGGCUCGUUCUGUACCGUUUCGGGCCACUAUAAAUCGUUGAUGUAUUUUGUUGAGUGCGAGGAUUUAUCGCCCGAGCUGAAUAUGCGAAGAGAAUCACACAAAUACAAAUAAAUCAAAAGCAUUUCGAAUGGCAAUCCUCGAGACUGCUCUGGGACUCCGACUGAGAGCGAGAGGGGAAUAGUAGUGUUGCUGUCGUGGUUGUUGCUAGCCAGGCUAGACUGUGCUCUGUGCUUUGUGCUCUGUGCGAAAAAUUGAUGUCUUUGCUCAUAAAAAUAAGGCAUCAAUGGGGAGAGAGGCGGCAACAUUGUAAAUUUUAUGACUUUUUUAUGCGCUGAAAUCUAUAAAUUAUGUAAACUGACACUGACAGCUGUCAACCGAAGGCUCAGUCGUUCCUGCGACAGCGGAACGAACGGAACGAGCGCUGAACGGUUGCAAGUGACACAUGUGUCAAAUGGUCGAUGGGGGGAAACGCGCAGCGAGAUCCCACUCCACUCCACUCCACCAUCCAAAAGGGAGCUCGAGCUGAUGACUCGAGAUGAUUAAAUGAUUGCGAGCGGCAAUAAAAAAUUGAUGUUUCGAAUUAUUGCUAAUAUAUAUAUUCGCUUCACUCUCCCGAGUGCCAGC
rnacentral:lncRNA from 1 species